UAGGGAAUGUUGGACAAUGGGCGAAAGCCUGAUCCAGCAACGCCGCGUGCGCGAUGAAGGCCUUCGGGUUGUAAAGCGCUUUUCGGGGGGAUGAGGAAGGACAGUACCCCCGGAAUAAGUCUCGGCUAACUACGUGCCAGCAGCCGCGGUAAAACGUAGGAGGCAAGCGUUAUCCGGAUUUACUGGGCGUAAAGCGCGUGCAGGCGGUUCGGUAAGUCGGACGUGAAAGCUCCUGGCUCAACUGGGAGAGGCCGUUCGAUACUACCGAACUAGAGGGCAGGAGAGGGAGGUGGAAUUCCCGGUGUAGUGGUGAAAUGCGUAGAUAUCGGGAGGAACACCAGUGGCGAAGGCGGCUUCCUGGCCUGCUCCUGACGCUAAGAGGCGAAAGCUAGGGGAGCGAACGGGAUUAGAAACCCCGGUAGUCCUAGCUAUAAACGAUGGAUACUGGGUGUCGGUGGUCCUAACCCCAUCGGUGCCGAAGCUAACGCGUUAAGUAUCCCGCCUGGGGACUACGGCCGCAAGGUUA
rnacentral:rRNA from 1 species